AGGGUGUAAACGCUGCAGACUUGGUGUUGGGGGCCCUUUGGGGGCGAUUCAGUGCCGGAGAGAAGUUGUUAAGUCUGCUACUUGGGGAGUACGUCCGCAAGGAUGAAACUUAAAGGAAUUGGCGGGGGAGCACCACAAGAGGUGGAGGCUGCGGUUCAAUUGGACUCAACGCCGGAAAACUCAUCGGGAGCGACAGCAGUAUGAUUGCCAGGUUGAUGACCUUGCUUGACAAGCUGAGAGGUGGUGCAUGGCGUAGUCGUGU
rnacentral:rRNA from 1 species